rnacentral:lncRNA from 1 species
CUGGCUCGGAAAUCAUCCAGGCUUGGAGCAACUUUGCGGGGAAUUACCGGGCGUGGUGGGCCUGGAGGCGGUGGGGGUGGAGGUGCUUUAAUGGUACAACUUUGGCUUUUCUUUCAAGAGGAGAAAACAAGAGGGAGAGUCGGGUGGGGGCUCUGUUGGGCCCCUGAGGGGUCGAAGGUUGCCUCUCUGACACUGCAUCAGGUCAACCAUGGGAUCUCUGGGACGCCUAUCAAGCCCAGCAGUACCCCUGGAGUUGUCCCCAUACAGGAUUCCUGUGACCCUGCCAGGGUCAGGCGGGACCGCGUACUGACAGCUCCACAAGGGCCAAGAGAUGUCUUUGCAACUACCAUGAAGCCUCCUGUAUCCAUAGGCCCUGAGAUUCUGGUACCUAUGGGCAAAAGGGCCAACUGAACCAGGCCUAGGCUGAUUCCAGCCCAGCUGCACCCAGCACUACCCAGUCACAGGU